AUUGAACGCUGGCGGCAUGCUUUACACAUGCAAGUCGAACGGUAACAGGCCGCCAGGUGCUGACGAGUGGCGAACGGGUGAGUAAUGCAUCGGAACGUGCCCAGUCGUGGGGGAUAACUACUCGAAAGAGUAGCUAAUACCGCAUACGAUCUAUGGAUGAAAGCGGGGGACCGUAAGGCCUCGCGCGAUUGGAGCGGCCGAUGUCAGAUUAGGUAGUUGGUGGGGUAAAGGCUCACCAAGCCAACGAUCUGUAGCUGGUCUGAGAGGACGACCAGCCACACUGGGACUGAGACACGGCCCAGACUCCUACGGGAGGCAGCAGUGGGGAAUUUUGGACAAUGGGCGCAAGCCUGAUCCAGCAAUGCCGCGUGCAGGAAGAAGGCCUUCGGGUUGUAAACUGCUUUUGUACGGAACGAAACGGCUCUGGUUAAUACCCGGGGCUAAUGACGGUACCGGAAGAAUAAGCACCGGCUAACUACGUG
rnacentral:rRNA from 1 species